rnacentral:pre_miRNA from 1 species
GUUGAUGGGAAUGUUGUUUGGCUCGAGGUAACUAAGAGAGGUUCAAAGUAAGGUUUUUGAUUUUGAAGAUGUGAUCUCGGACCAGGCUUCAUUCCCGUCAAC